rnacentral:rRNA from 1 species
UACGUAGGGGGCAAGCGUUGUCCGGAUUUAUUGGGCGUAAAAGCGCGUGUAGGCGGCCAGAUAGGUCUGCUGUGAAAAACUCGAGGCUCAACCUCGAGCUGUCGGCGGAAACCAUCUGGCUAGAGUCCGGAAGAGGAGAGUGGAAUUCCUGGUGUAGCGGUGAAAAUGCGCAGAAUAUCAGGAAGAACACUAUGGCGAGGGG